GUUUUAAUGAAAACAAUGCUUCUAUCAAAACAAUAAUUUAGUCAGCAAUAACAAACAAGAUCUAAUAGCUUUCUAAUACUGAAAAAAAUAUCACAGAAACUGCUAUAAAUAACAUGAAAUGUUCACCAUACAUUAAAUAAUGAGAGACAUAUACUAAAGCAGACACUGCUAUAAAUGACAUGAAUGGUUCACCAUACAUUAAAUAAUGAGAGACACAUACCAGAGCAGACACUGCUAUAAAUGACAUGAUGAUGAGUGGUUCACCAUACAUUAAAUAAUGAGAGACACAUACUAAAGCAGACAGUUAUAUAAAUAACAUGAAUGGUUCUCCACACAAUAAAUAGCAAAAGACUCAUACUUAAGCAGACAGCACUUUUAAUGACACUCAUUGAUCUCAAAAAUGGAUAAAAUUAACAAAUAGAAACGGAAAGAAAAUGUUUUCAACAAUGUAAGACAACUCUUCAACCUCUUAAAAGAGGAAAGUUUUAUAAGAGUUACCGGUAUCUGCCAUUGGGAACAGUAUAAACAUAUCUUUCAAAAAGAGAAUCUGAGUAGUUUACUUUUUUUAAAUCUUUAACAAUAUCAACAACUACUUUAAAAUUUAGAAUUUAUUGCAUUGUUUUAUUAUUGCAAGAAAUGUGACAGGGUUAUUAUAGCAAUAAUUCAAACUCACAUUUUGAAACUUUUUAUAUGAAUUAAACAAGAUUUUUCUCAAUACCGCAAAAAUUAAAAUUGCAAUUUAGUCUAAAAUGACAAAAUCACAAUAAUAAAUGCACACAAUAAUUUCUAAAUAUACAGUAACUCAAAAUUGGUCCAAUAAUGUUUCGAAAGCACAAAAACUCUUAAGAUGGUUUUAUUCAGCACUUUUUUCAGUACAUACAUAUGAUAUAUAUAUAUAUGUAUACCUGUAACAGUUUCUCAUGUGAUAACAAAUAUAAAUAGAAUAUAACACCAACUACUUCUCAUAUAUAUAAAAUUUACAGGCAUAAAUAUAACAUCAAAUGCCUUCUAUAUAUAAAUAUCUAUAUACAAAAUGUACAUAACAAGAGAGUUUUAUAAAUAUCAACAAUAUUUAAAAUUUGUACAAAGUGUAAAUAUUGAACAUUAAAAAUGAACACAAGAGUUUUAUGACAAAUAGUAUUAACUAAAUAUUUACACACUUAACUUUCAAGUUUCAGACAGUCAUUGCUUUGGUUACAGCACAAACUCCAGGCUUUUAAACUUUGAAUUAGCCAUAGUCAACAUAUUUUUUGGAAUGUCAAAAAAAUAAAUAACGGCAAAAUCGAUUUCAUUUUAUCAAGCCAAUUAUAAUUUUAUUUGAACUAAAUAGGUAUAUUGGUAUGCAAAUUACAUACAUGUAUAAAAGAUUACCAUUCAUGCAGCAGAGAAAAACAUUUUGUAGAAAUCACAGCCUAGAAAUGUAUUCAAUAUUGCUGAUGAUAUUUUCCAAAUGUCAAUUGAUAACAAAUUUCCAUUUCCCCAACAACAUGGAGUACAUACAGUUAGCUGGACUUGUUUUUUUCCUGAUUUUAAUAAAUGUGCAAAUUGUGAAAACUGUGUUAAUAAAGUUAAGAACCAUAAACCAGAAGCAAUUAAUUACAAGUUUAGAAAUAAAACUUUUUGCAGAUUUCUACUUUUUGCUACUUUUCAAUACAAUGCAUAUUUUAAUACAUAAUAUCAAUAUUUAUAUUGCUAAACAUUUUAUAUAACAGGGAUUUAAUUCUAUACAACAAUUUUAAAUUAAAAGUUACAACCUAAGAUGUUAAACUUUAUACUUCAAUGAAUAAAAUAAAUGUAUUUAAAACCAUUUGUAAACUUUAACUGUUUACUUUAAGUUACUAUCUAGUUAUCAGCAUUGAAACAGAAAAAACCUUGAUUUUAUCCCCCCGUUUAAAAUACAAGAAGUGAGAAGAUAAACCUUGGUCUAAUUAUGUUAUGUAAUCCCGAGUUCUUUCAAAAUUUUUCUUUGAAAAACAACUUUGAACCAGCUUUCACAGAAUUAACCUUUUCCCCAUCAAAAAUGAAUAAAAUCUUUUCAAUUUAUUUGAAAGUUUUCAAGUACAUAUUUUUUUACAAAUUUCAAUGACAACAAAAAACUUACUUUAUCAACAGGUGUGAUGUAUAAGUUGGCAAAAAUAUUUAAAGAGCCGUUUUAACAUUAAGUUAAAUUUAAAACCAUUAAAGUAUAACUAGAGAAAAAGGUACCAGACUUAAUGGUUUUAUCUUUUACUUCAAUUAAAGACUUAAGUAACAGAAAACUUCAUUUCAUUCAGUAUCUAAAUAUAAGUGUCUCCCAUUCUAAGAAAUCCAGAAAAAUUAAUAUGGAACAAACAUUUAUCAAUUCAAGGUAUUAUAGUUAUUACAUCUGUACAAUUUUAACAGAGGUUAUUGACUUUUUUGUGGUACUUACAAAUUAUUUUUUUUACAGUGCCAAAUAAACAUUUUCCAUUCUGUGUUAGAUUUAUGCUUUGUUACUACAUGUGUAUCAAUAAGGAGUUUUUUCAGUUCUAUAAGUAUGAAUUUGUAUUUCAAAAACAACCAAACAAAGUUUCUUUCAAAAUUGUUUCUUUAAGCUUCAAUACAUGUAUGUAUGAAUUAGGUACAAUUUUUCAAAAACAGCCAACCAAUGUUCAGUCAUUGAAAUUGGGGUUUGGCAUUUACAGGAUAAAAUUGACGAUUCUUUUUUCAAAUUUACAGAAUUAACAAAAAUUGUCAGGACAUGUUCUAUCAGUCUUGUACUAAUUGCGUGGACUGAAUGUUUCUAUAAAAAUUGCAAAUAAAAAUAACUGGUGUUGAAAAUAAACAGGAUUCCUUCAUAAAGAAGACCUGAAAGCCACAUUCCUGAGGUUUCUAGUCAUGUAACUUAACCACUGCAUCAGUAAGGAUAAUCAUAAAUAUAUUGCAUGGUAAUAAACUACAAUACAAUUAAAAUUUCACAGACAAUAAAAAGAAAAUCAAAUCCUUUUAUAUUUCUCUACAGUCAGAUAUGUAUGACAACCUAUUUAGUACAUAAUUCUCUGUAAGAUAGGUGUUAGAUAAGAUUUUCACACUGGAAAAUGUGAGAAACAUGUAAUAUAUUUGAUUCAUUUAAAUCAAUUUAUACGAGAAAACACUUUUAUUUAAGGAUGUUUGCUUGUCAUGUUUCAGAACUUUUGUCAGAUUUUCGAAAUUCUCUGGUUUUAUCCAUUUGAAUACCUUAAAAAAAUUUGCCCAUGGACCCCCUUUUUACUUUUUAUAAAUCUUUUACAGGUAUAAUUAUAAGCCAUUUGUUAAAGUCUUAUAAAAUCUUAUUUAUUUUUUAAUUAGUUUUUAAGAAUUUUAACUUGUCAAUGAUAAAGCUAUGAAAAAUCAAGUAAGAACAUUUUCCCGCCAAAAAUUCAAAUGGCUUAGAUAUCUCGAAAACAAGCACUUAGACCCCUUUAUUAUUUUUGCUUUUUUGAUUCCUCAAUUAAUCCCCUAUCAAUAUUUACUGUUUUAUGGAAAGUUAUUUAUUUUGAAACUGAGCAGCAAACUUCCUUAACGCUGAUUGUUGAUGUAUAUUGAAUGUUUUAUGUGAAAACUGGAUUUCUACACUCUAGUUGACAAGAUUAACAUUCCCAAAUGUCUUUUUUAAAGCAUUCAUCUGUAUUCCUUUGCACGGUAUUCAACCCAACCCUAAGAAACUUACUCAAGUAUUUUAAUUCUAUAACCAAUAUAUAUCCCAAUUAGAUAAUCAUCCCUUAGCUCAAUCUGCUGAAGUAGAUUUAAAGCUCAACAAACAUACAAAUGAUGUAAUAUCAAACCAUCUUAUACUAAAAAAAUACAGGUAUAGAUAACAAUUGAAAUAAAACCAAUGAAGUCA
rnacentral:lncRNA from 1 species